rnacentral:rRNA from 1 species
UACGUAGGGCGCAAGCGUUAUCCGGAAUUAUUGGGCGUAAAGAGCUCGUAGGCGGUUUGUCGCGUCUGCCGUGAAAGUCCGGGGCUCAACUCCGGAUCUGCGGUGGGUACGGGCAGACUAGAGUGAUGUAGGGGAGACUGGAAUUCCCGGUGUAGUGGUGAAAUGCGUAGAUAUCGGGAGGAACACCAGUGGCGAAGGCGACUACCUGGCCUGUUCUUGACGCUGAGGCGCGAAAGCUAGGGUAGCAAACGGG